CAAUGAACACGAUUCUAAGGAAUGUGCCAUGAGCACUCGAAGCCAGCCAUGGCACCUUAGCACAGACUGUCAUAACAAAAUACAGCCUGGAUGGCAGAACAGAAACUUAUUUCUCGGAGGCAUGGAGGCUGGGAAGGCCAAGAUCAAGGUGCUGAUAAGCCAUUAGUUCCUCAGGAUCACCUCUGACAUGUAAAGUCCCCAGUGAGACCCCAAAUUCACUUGCAGAUAAUCUAAGAAACAAACACACUAAAAGACUGGAUACUUUCUACAACCUACCCUGACAAAGAUUUACACACCUUUUCCAAAAGACUACGCCACAACAGGCGAUGACGUACUGUCUAUUCGGUGCCAGAUACUAAGACUACAACAGAUGAAUAGAAGCACGGACCUUGUCUUCGAGGCCCUCGCCAACCAGUCAAGCGAACAGAUAAACAGGUAUAGUGAGGCUGCAGAGGCAACUCCUCGGCCUGGCUGCCUCCAACACGAGGAUCGUGUUUCAUGAGAACAACGGCCACGGUUCCAGCUUCAGCUCUCACUAGGGCAAAGCCUAAUGACCAAUAAUAAUGGGUGAUGCUUUGGGGGAAUUCACUCAUUCUUUUGAUAAAUAUGUAUGCAAUAUUUACUAUGUGCCUGGAACAGUGUGAAGUGCCAGGGAUACAAUGGUGAAGAACAAAACUACCCACGGUCUCUACUUUCUCGAAGCAAACAGUCUAAAUGCCAAUACCUGUAUUGCCAGACUUAACCACAAUAGAAUCCAAUCGGCAGCCGGGGAGCCAAUACGAUCAUUAUUAAGGGUCACAUGUAACCUGUAUCAGAUACUGGAGGCUCUCAACCAUUCAAUCUUCAACAGACACUUACAAAUGUCUCUUAUGUGCAGGAUACUCUGCUGGGUACAAUACAGAGAAGGAAGGAUGAAUAAGAAAGACACCACUGUAGUCUUCAGAGAAGCUGUCUAAAGCGUCUUAAGACUUUUCAAAUGGCGUAUUUAGUUUUCAAAACCAAACAAACAUGGUAAUACAAAGUAACAAGAAUUCAAUGUGACUCAGUGGGUUAGCUAGUUAACUUUUCAAGGAAAAAUACUUAAAGUGUUUUUGGAAACCAUGAAUAAACUAACCCUUCUAUCUAGAGAAGGCAAUCCAAACUACUAAAUAGUGAUUAAAGGUUGAGCCAUACACUCGAAGAGAGAUCAAGCAAAAGAUAGAGACGUUUGGGGGGGGGGGGGGGAAUCACACACUGGAAUACGGCAGGAGAAGUUUUAAUUUUUUAAGUCGGCUAGUCAUUGGCCACCACCAAAAAUGUUCUACAUUCAGUUUCCUAAAUCUGUGACAGAUAAACCGGCAAUAUAAUCCAGGAUGGUCCAUAGCGAAGGUAGGGACCAAAAGAACCUUUCCAGAACCUUACUAAAAUGCCAAACUGCAAAAAACAUAAAAUAAAACUGAAGUAAAAAGACCCAAUGAACACAUACACAAACCACAAACUUCCUUUUAUUCCACUAUCAUAUUUAUAACUCACUAGACAGUAUAACAUAAGGCUUAUCUUAUUAAAUGAUAUCAAGAAAAUAGCCACCAAAACAGAAGACUUUGUUAAUGAUUUUUAUUUGAAACAGCAAGUUUAUUCUGGAUAUGUUCCUUCACUGAUAAAAGUGUACAUUACUUAAACAAAAUCAUCAUGUUCCUAAUAAUUGUACAGCCCUCUCAGUAAUAAAUCUUAACUAGUUA